rnacentral:rRNA from 1 species
CCCACAAAGGUAACCUCAACCUAUCCCAUUUGGCGGCCUUCAAUCUUAUUAAAGGAACUUGUUGUGUAACCGAUGAUACGCGAUAAUUUUAGCUUAAACCUAGUUUUUAUACCGCCGUCCAAAGGAUAAAAUAAAAUAUUUUAUUCGCUCCAUACCUCCUCAAGUAAAAAUGUCAGGUCAAGGUGAAGUCAAUGUUUAAGUUUCAAUGAGUUAUCAAUAAAAAUAAUUUAUGGACUUUUGUUUAAAAACACAAACCGAAUCAAGAUUUAAAAGUAUUUUCAGUACAAUACACUGAAAAGAAUAAGCAAAAAAGGUGUACAUAUCGCCCGUCGCCCUCGUCCAAAGAUGAGGUAAGUCGUAACACAGUUAAUAUACUGGAAAGUGUAUUAAGCGUAACAUUUCCAAGCUUUUAGUAUUUCACUUACACUGAAAAGAUAUCAUUUUACUUUUACUUAAUUUUCUAUUCACAAAAUCUUCACAUUCAUAUUAAUCUAAUUCCAUAUACCAAAAACUGUAAAGGUUUACAAAAAUAUAAAUAGAGUAAGUUUAUGUACCUUUUGUAUCAGGGAUUUUCUAACCAUUAUGAGCAUCUCAAACUCCCGAAACAAGACGAACUUUGUUACUUUAGUAAAAGUUGUGGCACAAACAAUAUAAAUUUUACAAAGUUGAGAUAUUCUAUUCAAGUUUUUCUAUAUCUGGUUCACUUCACAUUAAUUCUCAACAUGGUCCUAAGAAUAAGCUUCGCACCAAGUUUUCCGCUUUCUCUUUCAUUCAAUCCAGAUUUAAUAGUAUCCGCAUUGUUUUUAAACGCCAAAACCCAAUUUGUUUAAACAAAUUCCUAAAGUGAGUCACCCCAUCAAUCUUACAAUGAAAAUAUCAGUAAAAUUUUCCUUUUCCUUAACGCUAAAUCCCCUCCCCUUAACCAUAAAUUAACAUUGCUUUUAUGAACUAGGCCCCAAUCAAUUGACUGUUUAUCAAAAACAUAGCUAAUAGAUCUCAAUUACUAGUAGUACCUGCUCAGUGAAUAAUAAAUAGCCGCAAA